rnacentral:rRNA from 2 species
AUCAAAACUUUCAACAACGGAUCUCUUGGUUCUGGCAUCGAUGAAGAACGCAGCGAAAUGCGAUAAGUAAUGUGAAUUGCAGAAUUCAGUGAAUCAUCGAAUCUUUGAACGCACAUUGCGCCCGCCAGUAUUCUGGCGGGCAUGCCUGUCCGAGCGUC